rnacentral:rRNA from 1 species
GACGAACGCUGGCGGCGUGCUUAACACAUGCAAGUCGAACGAGUGGCGAACGGGUGAGUAACACGUGGGUGAUCUGCCUUGCACUUCGGGAUAAGCUUGGGAAACUGGGUCUAAUACCGGAUAGUGCAAGAUGAGCUCGCGGCCUAUCAGCUUGUUGGUGGGGUAAUGGCUACCAAGGCGCGACGGGUAGCCGGCCUGAGAGGGUGUACGGAAACAGUGGGGAUGAAAGACGGGCCGUUCUCCUACGGGAGGCUGAGGGGAGGAAUAUGGCACAAGGGGCGGAAGAGUGAUGCAGAAACGUGGGGUGGGGGAUGAGUGCCUGCGGGUUGUAAACUCCUUUCAACAGGGCCGCGGUAACUGUAUAAGAAAAACCGGCUAACUACGUGCCAGCAGCCGCGGUAAUAC